rnacentral:lncRNA from 1 species
GGCAUAUUCCCAACAGUAUGUCCAUCUCAAUUGUUUUGAUGAGCUCUUUGCAACUGUGUGCUUAGAUUCUUCACUUGAGAUACUUUUAUAUGAUGAAAUAUUGAAUAUCCUACAAGACAAGUGAGAACAACACAACUCGUGGAACUCAUUAGAAUAAACCCCUAUAGCCCUACUUUACACAUUAAUUCAGCUCUCUUCCUCACUUAAUUGGCGAUUAAAAAUUAGAGUUAAUUACUGUCAACAAACUCCCCUAAGCAUAUCCUUGUAUGUGUUGCCAAAUCAAACCAGGAUCCUCGGAGGGGAAACCAUACUCUUAGAUCAUGAUGUGCAUGUGUGUGGACCUAUAUAUGUGGAAUGGCUAUGUAUAUGAUGGUGGAUACAUGGUGGAACAAUGUGUGUAACAUGGCAAGGGUGAAAAUAAUGGUAAGGGAACAUGAUGGAAACCUUAUCUUUAUUUGCUUGCUCCUUGAGAGGAUACUUCUCUCUAUUAAACUUUGAAAACUCUGAAGAACACUUGGGCUAGAUAAUCUUUUUUUCUUUUCUCUUCUCUUUCUCUUUUUUUUGAACUAGCAUUCCCAAGCUUCUUUUGCUGAUGAAUAGCAAGAGAUAAUAACAAGGAUUGUUGGAGCAUUUACUGAAUAGCGAUUAAAUAAUAAUAAGGUUUGAUGGAAUGGAAAAAGGAAAUAUUUUUGGUUGUUCAUUCCCAAGGUAGGAAUAGAACAUUUUUUGGUGGAUCUAGGUGGAAAGCAUGUAGUUGCAUACUUCUAGGGUAGAAGUAGCACAUUUGAGUGGAGUGUAUGUAAUCUUGAUCUUGAGAGUAUGGUGAACCUCUCGACAAGGGUCUUACAUGGGUUGAUCAAACUCAACACAAAGCAAGUAGCCUAUGAUCUAGUUUUCCUAAUCUAGGAUAUGUAUGGUUAUGGUAGGAAUUUAAUCACUCAUUAUAUAGGAACUCAUCAUGUGGUAAUUUUAGGUUUUUCAAAAGAUAAAUCUCCAGAACUCUAAUAUCACUAGGAACAAGAUAAAUAGUAGCUCAAAACCUUUUCAUAUCAUACUUAUCAAACACCUAGACUUAGAUCAAGCUUUUUGCAACCCAUAAGUUUCAGGUUUAGAGCAAUUUUUCAUGUCAAAACAAUCUUAUCCUAAAACUCGAGAGAAUCUAAGGUUGAACACUAAGCACUUGAAAGGGAUUACAGCAGAGCAACUAUUCAUCAUCUUCAUGCAAAU